GGAAACGUGGCAGAGUGGUUGAAUGCACCGGUCUUGAAAACCGGCGAUGUCGAAAGACAUCCGUGAGUUCGAAUCUCACCGUUUCCGCCG
rnacentral:tRNA from 1 species